rnacentral:rRNA from 1 species
AGAGUUUGAUCCUGGCUCAGGACGAACGCUGGCGGCACGCUUAACACAUGCAAGUCGAACGAGAGAAGAGGAGCUUGCUUUUCUGAUCUAGUGGCGGACGGGUGAGUAACACGUGAGCAAUCUGCCUUUCAGAGGGGGAUACCGAUUGGAAACGAUCGUUAAUACCGCAUAACAUAAUUGAACCGCAUGAUUUGAUUAUCAAAGAUUUAUCGCUGAAAGAUGAGCUCGCGUCUGAUUAGCUAGUUGGUAAGGUAACGGCUUACCAAGGCGACGAUCAGUAGCCGGACUGAGAGGUUGAUCGGCCACAUUGGGACUGAGACACGGCCCAGACUCCUACGGGAGGCAGCAGUGGGGAAUAUUGCACAAUGGAGGAAACUCUGAUGCAGCGAUGCCGCGUGAGGGAAGAAGGUUUUAGGAUUGUAAACCUCUGUCUUCAGGGACGAAAAAAGACGGUACCUGAGGAGGAAGCUCCGGCUAACUACGUGCCAGCAGCCGCGGUAAUACGUAGGGAGCGAGCGUUGUCCGGAAUUACUGGGUGUAAAGGGAGCGUAGGCGGGAUCGCAAGUCAGAUGUGAAAACUAUGGGCUUAACCCAUAAACUGCAUUUGAAACUGUGGUUCUUGAGUGAAGUAGAGGUAAGCGGAAUUCCUAGUGUAGCGGUGAAAUGCGUAGAUAUUAGGAGGAACAUCAGUGGCGAAGGCGGCUUACUGGGCUUUAACUGACGCUGAGGCUCGAAAGCGUGGGGAGCAAACAGGAUUAGAUACCCUGGUAGUCCACGCCGUAAACGAUGAUUACUAGGUGUGGGGGGACUGACCCCUUCCGUGCCGCAGCAAACGCAAUAAGUAAUCCACCUGGGGAGUACGACCGCAAGGUUGAAACUCAAAGGAAUUGACGGGGGCCCGCACAAGCAGUAGAGUAUGUGGAUUAAUUCGAAGCAACGCGAAGAACCUUACCAGGUCUUGACAUCGUAUGCAUAGCUCAGAGAUGAGUGAAAUCUCUUCGGAGACAUAUAGACAGGUGGUGCAUGGUUGUCGUCAGCUCGUGUCGUGAGAUGUUGGGUUAAGUCCCGCAACGAGCGCAACCCUUACUGUUAGUUGCUACGCAAGAGCACUCUAGCAGGACUGCCGUUGACAAAACGGAGGAAGGUGGGGAUGACGUCAAAUCAUCAUGCCCCUUAUGACCUGGGCCUCACACGUACUACAAUGGCUGUCAACAGAGGGAAGCAAAGCCGCGAGGUGGAGCGAACCCCUAAAAGCAGUCUUAGUUCGGAUUGUAGGCUGCAACCCGCCUACAUGAAGUCGGAAUUGCUAGUAAUCGCAGAUCAGCAUGCUGCGGUGAAUACGUUCCCGGGCCUUGUACACACCGCCCGUCACGCCAUGGGAGUCGGUAACACCCGAAGCCUGUAGUCUAACCGCAAGGAGGACGCAGUCGAAGGUGGGAUUGAUGACUGGGGUGAAGUCGUAACAAGGUA